UGGGGAAUAUUGGACAAUGGGCGAAAGCCUGAUCCAGCCAUGCCGCGUGUGUGAAGAAGGUCUUCGGAUUGUAAAGCACUUUAAGUUGGGAGGAAGAGCAGUCACCUAAUACGUGAUUGUUUUGACGUUACCUACAGAAUAAGCACCGGCUAACUCUGUGCCAGCAGCCGCGGUAAUACAGAGGGUGCAAGCGUUAAUCGGAAUUACUGGGCGUAAAGCGUGCGUAGGUGGUUUGUUAAGUUGAAUGUGAAAUCUCCGCGCCCAACCUGGGAACUGCAUCCGAAACUGGCGGGCUAGAGUAUGGUAGAAGGUAGUGGAAUUUCCGGUGUAGCGGUGAAAUGCGUAGAUAUAGGAAGGAACGCCAGUGGCGAAGGCGACUAACUGGGCUGAUACUGACGCUGAAGUACGAAAGCGUGGGGAGCAAACA
rnacentral:rRNA from 1 species